UAUUGCACUAAUUUGCUUUUGA
rnacentral:miRNA from 3 species